UACAGAGGGGGCAAGCGUUAUUCGGAAUUAUUGGGCGUAAAGGGCGCGUAGGCGGCUUGGCAAGUGGAUGGUGAAAUCCCUCGGCUUAACCGAGGAACUGCCGUCCAAACUGCUUCGCUUGAGACCGGGAGAGGUGAGUGGAAUUCCCAGUGUAGCGGUGAAAUGCGUAGAUAUUGGGAGGAACACCAGUGGCGAAGGCGGCUCACUGGUCCAUUACUGACGCUGAGGUGCGAAAGCGUGGGGAGCAAACAGG
rnacentral:rRNA from 1 species